UGGGGAAUAUUGGGCAAUGGACGCAAGUCUGACCCAGCAACGCCGCGUGAAGGAAGAAGGCUUUCGGGUUGUAAACUUCUUUGACAGGGGAAGAGCAGAAGACGGUACCCUGAAAACAAGCCACGGCUAACUACGUGCCAGCAGCCGCGGUAAUACGUAGGUGGCAAGCGUUGUCCGGAUUUACUGGGUGUAAAGGGCGUGCAGCCGGGCCGACAAGUCAGAUGUGAAAUCCCGAGGCUUAACCUCGGAACUGCAUUUGAAACUGUUGGUCUUGAGUAUCGGAGAGGUCAUCGGAAUUCCUUGUGUAGCGGUGAAAUGCGUAGAUAUAAGGAAGAACACCAGUGGCGAAGGCGGAUGACUGGACGACAACG
rnacentral:rRNA from 1 species